rnacentral:rRNA from 1 species
AUUGAACGCUGGCGGCAGGCCUAACACAUGCAAGUCGAACGAGUGGCGGACGGGUGAGUAAUGUCUGGGAAACUGCCUGCUGGAGGGGGAUAACUACUGGAAACGGUAGCUCAUACCGCAUACCAUCGGAUGUGCCCAGAUGGGAUUAGCUAGUAGGUGGGGUAAAGGCUCACCUAGGCGACGAUCCCUAGCUUGUCUGAGAGGAUGACCAGCCACACUGGAGCUGAGACACGUUACAGACUCCUACGGGAGGCAGCAGUUGGUAAUAUUGCACAAUGGGCGAAAGCCUGAUGCAGCCAUGCCGCGUGUAUGAAGAAGGCCGUCGGGUUGGAAAGUACUUUCAGCGGGGAGGCGUUACACGCAGAGGAGGCACCGGCUAACUCCGUGCCAGAAGCCGCGGUAAUAC